UGCCAGCCGCCGCGGUAAUACGGGAGGUGCGAGCGUUAAUCGGAAUUACUGGGCGUAAAGCGCACGUAGGUGGCUUGGUAAGUCGGAUGUGAAAGCCCUGGGCUCAACCUGGGAAUUGCAUUCGAUACUGCUUAGCUAGAGUAUGAGAGAGGGUAGUGGAAUUCCGGGUGUAGCGGUGAAAUGCGUAGAUAUUGGGAAGAACACCAGUGGCGAAGGCGGCUAACUGGCUCGGUACUGACGCUGAGAUGCGAAAGCGUGGGGAGCAAACAGGAUUAGAUA
rnacentral:rRNA from 1 species